CUGGCACCACAGCACAAGCUUAUAGACGGAUCUGGUAGUUCACUGGCAGGUGGCCUCCACAGGUGCUUCAGGGCUGAUGCCAGAUGUCCUACCCAGGAACAGGGCACAGUCUGUGGCUUCCAGACACAAGAUUUCCUAAUGGCCUAAGAUAGCUUCUGGAGCUCCAGCCAUCACACCCACAGUCCAGAUUGGCAGAGGAGAAGCAAUGAAGGAAAGCCUGAUUCCCAGAACCCCUCCACGGAGAAGACAAAUAUUUAGAUAAUCACCAGGAGCCAGUGAGAGUCUCCAUUGAUUUCUACAUGUAUCCAACUUGUGAACGCAACUCUGAC